rnacentral:rRNA from 1 species
GACGAACGCUGGCGGCGUGCUUAACACAUGCAAGUCGAACGGAAAGGCCCUGCUUUUGUGGGGUGCUCGAGUGGCGAACGGGUGAGUAACACGUGAGUAACCUGCCCUUGACUUUGGGAUAACUUCAGGAAACUGGGGCUAAUACCGGAUAGGAGCUCCUGCUGCAUGGUGUGGGUUGGAAAGUUUCGGCGGUUGGGGAUGGACUCGCGGCUUAUCAGCUUGUUGGUGGGGUAGUGGCUUACCAAGGCUUUGACGGGUAGCCGGCCUGAGAGGGUGACCGGCAACAUUGGGACUGAGAUACGGCCCAGACUCCUACGGGAGGCAGCAGUGGGGAAUAUUGCAAAAUGGGCGGAAGCCUGAUGCAGCAACGCCGCGUGCGGGAUGACGGCCUUCGGGUUGUAAACCGCUUUCGCCUGUGACGAAGCGUGAGUGACGGUAAUGGGUAAAGAAGCACCGGCUAACUACGUG